rnacentral:rRNA from 1 species
CCUGAGAAACCCAAAAGAUCGAAUGGGGAGAUUCAUCGUCAGCUCAUUUUGUAUAUAUAUAAGUUAUGAUGCGGGUUACUACUUGUAGUAUUGCCUGCACAUUCUUGUAUAUUUAGUUGCAAGAUGUUGUCGGCGUGCACUUCUCCUCUAGUAGGACGUCGCGACCUGUUGGGUGUCGGUCUACGGCCCAAGUGAUAGUCUUUAAUGUAAUUAAAAAAGCAUUGAAGAUCCUUGGUGUUUUCUGACCGGCUACUUGGCAGUAUUCGUACGGUAUUUAGCCGCUAAAUUUUUUAAGCGUCCAUAUCCGUCACAAGCGAGGCCAAUUUACUGAUAGUACGGACUUAGCGCUGUCGUUGGUAUUGGCCAGCUGUUGGUUGUACGGUAUUCUAGGACUGGCUAAAAUUAAUUACCGGUCGGCGAUGCUACUGCUUUGGGUACUUUCAG